rnacentral:lncRNA from 1 species
GGAAAACUAGAUCACAGAGCCCUGGGGAAGGGCUGUGCUUGGCACAGAAAAGAAGUGAUCCUGUCAGCAGGCAGGAGAGAGGGACAUGGGUUCAGCACCCAGCAGCUCAGACGACAGCUCCUGAACAGAGCGAGGGGGCCAAGAGCACGCCUCACAUCAAGGGCACCUGGAUGCGAGAGGUGCAAGGAGAAGAAAAAGGAACGAUUUCCAGAGUGUGGCAAGCGGAACUACUACAAUGAACUUAGAACAUGCGGACGUUUCCCAGGCCCCAGCCCCUGCUAAUCUGUGUGAGGGCGGGUCCCAGAGUGAGAGGAACCCCCUGCCUGGAUGCUCAUGGAAACAGAGUCCGCAUGGCAAUGGAG